rnacentral:sRNA from 1 species
AGGGCACUGAGGUGUGACCUGUGGAAAAGGGGUGGGACUUCCAAGCCUCUUUCUGUACUAGCGGUCAACACUGACAGCCCACAGUUGAUGAGUUUUGUUUGGCUGCAGUAUUUUAAACAACUUUGAAUCAAUUGCCAAUGUUUAGAAAUUUAUAGAUGUCACCUAAAAAUUUGGAUUUCUAGUUUCUUUUGUAUUUGGCAGACAUGGUAAUACUGAGUGUCUUGUCCUGAGUCUGCAUGACAACAGUUCGCUGGAGCUGAGCAGUGGGUUUCCCCUUUAGAGUGAACAGUAUUCUUCAGUUUGCUAUAUUUGAUAAUAAUAAUAGCGGUAGCAAACAUAUUGUGCUGUGUGAUAGGCACUUAAGACUUAAUCCUCAGAAUAACUCUGUGGGGUAGGUAGUCUUGUUUUCUCCAUUUUACAGAUGAAGGAAACUGAGGCACAGAGAGAUGAACUUGUCCAUGGUCUACUGCCAGGAAGUGGUAAAUCUGAUUUUCAGACUGGACAGUCUGGUCCCAUGUACAUACUCUUAGCCUCUAGGUGGUACUGCCUCCAGUACCUCAGUUUCUGAGUCUCUUCACCUCAGCCUUGGCCCAGGUACUUGGGUUUCUCUCUGUUUUCCCAUUAGAGAAAUAAGGUUUUCCAAUGAAGAGUAGAUUCUGGGGUUUGCCUUUAUGUCAAAGGGCCGUGACCAGAGCAUGGCCCCGACCUGCCCGUGAUGCCACAUCUGGUCAGUAGAGGGCGCUGGCUCUAUAGUGGCUCUGGGUCCCGGCAAGUACCAAAAGGUUACUGGGAUGUGCAAGAGAGAAAAGUCUGUUAAUGCUGGAGUUUGAGAGGCUCCUGGUCUGAGUUUGGCAUUCUGGUGUCCAGCAUUUGGGACAGAAUUACUUGUUCUUCUGUCAUAGGAAAAAGUCUCACGGCUGGAAACAGAGUUAGAUGAGGAAAAGAACACCGUGGAGCUGCUAACAGAUCGGGUGAAUCGUGGCCGGGACCAGGUGGAUCAGCUGAGGACAGAGCUCAUGCAGGAGAGGUCUGCUCGGCAGGACCUGGAGUGUGACAAAAUCUCCUUGGAGAGACAGAACAAGGACCUGAAGACCCGGUUGGCCAGCUCAGAAGGCUUCCAGAAGCCCAGUGCCAGCCUCUCUCAGCUUGAGUCUCAGAAUCAGUUGUUGCAGGAGCGGCUACAGGCUGAAGAGAGAGAGAAGACAGUUCUGCAGUCUACCAAUCGAAAACUGGAGCGGAAAGUUAAAGAACUAUCCAUCCAGAUUGAAGACGAGCGGCAGCAUGUCAAUGACCAGAAAGACCAGCUAAGCCUGAGGGUGAAGGCUUUGAAGCGUCAGGUGGAUGAAGCAGAAGAGGAAAUUGAGCGACUGGACGGCCUGAGGAAGAAGGCCCAGCGUGAGGUGGAGGAGCAGCAUGAGGUCAAUGAACAGCUCCAGGCCCGGAUCAAGUCUCUGGAGAAGGACUUCUGGCGCAAAGCUUCCCGCUCAGCUGCUGAGUCAGCUCUCAAAAACGAAGGGCUGAGCUCAGAUGAGGAAUUCGACAGUGUCUACGAUCCCUCAUCCAUUGCGUCACUGCUUACGGAGAGCAACCUACAGACCAGCUCCUGUUAGCUCGUGGUCCUCAAGGACUCAGAAAGCAGGCUCAAGGCCUAUCCCAGCAAGUGCUGCUCUGCUCUGCCCACCCUGGAUUCUGCAUUCCUAUGGGUGACCCAAUUAUUCAGACCUAAGACAGGGAGGGGUCAGAGUGAUGGUGAUAAAAAAAAAAACAAACACAUCAGCAAUAAGCUGAUAGAUGGACUUUCCACUGUAGGGGUGGACAUUUCAAGCCAACUGAGCCCUUUCCUCAAGUGCCGACACCUCCUUCAUCUCUCUCAUAGUGGAAAUAUGGUCAGCAUUAGGCUGAUGGGGACUGAGAAGGAUAGGAAGGGAUAGAAAUUGCCAUGUGUAUAAAGCUUUAUUCUUUAGCCCUUAACCCUAAGGCUCAGGGAAAUACCCUAUGUUAUUGUGCUCCCUGGAUUCCUGCAACUCAUUUUCCUUCCACUCUGGAGCAGGGUGAGGGGAAUGUUAUGGGUAACAGACAUGCAGGCAUGGCUCUACCCAUUUCUUUGCACAAGUAUGGGGCCCAUGUGGUAGUCCCCAUACCCCUCCAGUUCUUAUAUUUUUGUCUUCUUCCUUUCCCCUCUUCACCAUUCCUACCUUACAUUUUUCCUGUCAGUGCCUUAGCCAAGGUAAGGAGAUAAGGAUGCUCUUCUUGCUUUUUAUAUCUGCACAUUCAUACCUCUCCAAAGACGAGCUUUUCCCCAGCCAGGGCCCUCAGCCUUCCCUGCUGCCCCAGUGAUUGAUUGAGAGAGCUGUUGGGGUUUCUCUGCCAAUGACCCCCUGGGAGAGGGACUUUGGUAGGUCAUGAUAAAGUGGCGGGGGUCUGAUCCUGCUCAGGGUUUCCAUCCUUCCUCCUCUCCCUCCUCUGUGACUGUGGAUAUGGUUAUAAGGUGGUUGCACCUGGGAGCCCUGACAACUGUCUGCACAAGUUCCAAAAGUAAAGUUCCAAAAGUAAAGGUGUCAGUCCCUGUGGCCUUCCUUGGAGCUUCUCUGACCACAUGUGCCCAACUUCAAUAAGAGAACCAAGGGACCCUCAUUUUCUGAGGUGCUUGGCUCUGAUUCAGGGCUUUGCAAGGGGUUAGAAGCUGACUGUAAAAAUGGGAAGAGGCAACGGAAGACAUUUAUUUCUCCUUUGGAUUUUGGGGAGAACCAAGCCCUGGUAGGGAAGAGGUAAGGGGGAUGAUUUACCUCCAUAUUUCCUAAGCAGGUUGUAUAGGGAGCCGGUGGCAGGAGGAAGGCUGUUUUCACGAAUGACUUGUAAUGUCGUGAUUAAAAAAAAUUCCUAUAUUCUUCUGCAAAUCAAACAUUCUUUCCCAAUCCAAUCCAGCCUUGGUUUUAUUUUAAAUUAAAUAUUAAAAUUACACAUUUAUAUUGAAA